CGCCAGUGCAAGGAGACCAGAAGCUUGUUCGUGAAAGCACCUGAGUGACUCAUUCCUUCAUCUUUGACAUAUUGAUUUGUCAUUAGCAAAGAUGCAACCAUCUUUCAUCUUUUCUACAAUUUUUUUAUUCGGGAUCAUAACCCUUUCAUCCUCUAAUAGAAUCCCUUCUGGUUAUCAACUAUGCCGUGUAGCAUGUGCGAACCAUGCCAGAAACUGUCGCUUUAUCGAUGACUGUCCUUCGUCGUGUGCUAAGGACGAUUACCAUUGCUCCCUGCAAGUGUGCUUAGAUAUAAGCUGCACUUCUAAGGGGAAAAGAGAUCAAAUUGAAACCACCGAAGUACAGAUCUGAUGAGCUGCUCAGAUUACGAGAAAGACAUCACAUCACCAGGAAGUCGGAUCAUCUUGGGUAUAUCUCAUUACGGAACAAGGAAAAAUGUAUAUUGCCUCGAUCGUAAAAAGGAAUUAUAUUGAUUCGUAAUGAUAACAUGAUAACACAGAAUACUUCUGUAGGUAGUACGGUACUGAUCAUGAUUAAAAUUUAACCUUUUUUUCAAAUGAACGAAGCCGACAUUUUAUUUAAAGGUCUUAAAGAUUUUUUUGAGACCACAUUUCAAUGACAAUUUUUCUAUAGCUUACAAUAACAUCUUAGACCUUGCAAUACUGUUGCUAAUGACGUUUGAGGAGCUCUAUAGUUAUAAAUGGCAGGAUUUCAACCGAGAGCCAGCGUUUCUUUCAUCGUAACAGCUUUACAACGAAUUUUUUUUUUGUUUCAAGAUGUUCUCCUGACAUGUACUCUCAAUCACAAGGAAAUAGUUUAACAAAUUAAAGUGUGACUACCAGCAA